rnacentral:rRNA from 1 species
AUUGAACGCUGGCGACAUGCCUUACACAUGCAAGUCGAACGGCAGCACGGGUGCUUGCCCCUGGUGGCGAGUGGCGAACGGGUGAGUAAUACAUCGGAACAUGUCCUGUAGUGGGGGAUAGCCCGGCGAAAGCCGGAUUAAUACCGCAUACGAUCUACGGAUGAAAGCGGGGGACCUUCGGGCCUCGCGCUAUAGGGUUGGCCGAUGGCUGAUUAGCUAGUUGGUUGGGUAAAGGCCUACCAAGGCGACGAUCAGUAUCUGGUCUGAGAGGACGACCAGCCACACUGGGACUGAGACACGGCCCAGACUCCUACGGGAGGCAGCAGUGGGGAAUUUUGGACAAUGGGCGAAAGCCUGAUCCAGCAAUGCCGCGUGUGUGAAGAAGGCCUUCGGGUUGUAAAGCACUUUUGUCCGGAAAGAAAUCCUUGGCCCUAAUACGGUCGGGGGAUGACGGUACCGGAAGAAUAAGCACCGGCUAACUACGUG